rnacentral:tRNA from 1 species
GCCCCGUUCGUCUAGCGGCGCAGGACACCGCUCUUUCAAUGCGGUGGGACGGGUUCGACUCCCGUACGGGGUA